rnacentral:sRNA from 1 species
GCGUGUACCCUGCCCCCUCACCGCUCAUGUGCGUCCCUCCCAAAGCUGCGCGCUCAGUGGAAGAGGAUGGCCUUCCCGGAAUAAAGACUGACGGGUCUUUGGUGGAGUGUAUACGAAUAGCUGCGCUCCCCUGCUAGAACCUCCUACUUUACAUGAUAGACAAAAAUCAUUUCAGAGUAGAACAAACACUUUAAGAUAACGGACAAAUCUAUGAACCUCUCAGAAGAAACCAUAACAAUAUAUUUUGUUAUGAUCUAUUUUUAUAU